GGGGAAUUAAAAUGGCAGUUGCUAAAGAAACUAUGAAAGAACAUCUUAGAGGCAAGAUAGAUUUGAAAUUUUCAGGUAAAACAUGUUUAAAAAUGGAACCAGUCAUCUAAUGGUUAUGCAUCUCAUUACCAAUUUUCCUGGAGGACCUGGAGGCAAUUCUAUUCUUAAUAAUUUCAAGAUAUGUGUAUAAAUAUCAACUUGGCACCCCACCAAAAUGGCUUAGAGGUUUGCAUCACUUCAUAAGCCCUUUCAUUUUUCAUGCUUGGCCGAUGUGGGACUUGUUCCCAUCCUUCACAUUCCAAAACUCUCCCUCAAGUGCAAUUGGGCUGGACCUGUUGAGACCCGAUUGUCACUUGGCAUUACAUGGGAUGGCCUAUCUAGUUGGAUCUAGCAUCUUCUGACUCUAUCCGUUAGGAACUAGCACACUAGGCUAACCGAUGGAUUCACCUGAGUCUAGCUCGAUUAGCUCAAGUCAAAUGCCAGGCUUGCUGCAGCCCAACCCAUCAUGCUUUCGAGUCCUAGAACUACUGUCAUUGGAUCUCAUCACUUUGAUAUCAUGUUUGAGUUCGUGGGCUUGGGAAGUGGAGCACAACACGAGCCAACCUGCUAAAGGAAUUGGGCUAAACUUGGUACACCUCCACCAAAAUGGCCUAAGCCAUUUUAGUUUGGCUCGCCAAUACUUAUAUGUCAACCUAUGUUAUUUGGACUCAGGUAUGGAUGUAGGAAAUGGUACAUAUCCGUAUGUCAAACUUGUGAGCUUGCUAAAUAGAAAAUACGAGAAUAUGGAUGUAAAUUUAGACGUGGGUGCUUAGAUAUGUUAUUUAGAUCAAAAGGGUUGAAAUAAUCUAUCUAAUAGGGGUCAACCACAAUUAAUUUUGAUCUAUAACCAUUGGAUUCGCGAAAUAUUCAAUGAUU
rnacentral:misc_RNA from 1 species